AUGCCUUACACAUGCAAGUCGAACGGCAGCACGGGGGCAACCCUGGUGGCGAGUGGCGAACGGGUGAGUAAUACAUCGGAACGUGUCCUGUAGUGGGGGAUAGCCCGGCGAAAGCCGGAUUAAUACCGCAUACGAUCUACGGAUGAAAGCGGGGGAUCUUCGGACCUCGCGCUAUAGGGGCGGCCGAUGGCGGAUUAGCUAGUUGGUGGGGUAAAGGCUCACCAAGGCGACGAUCCGUAGCUGGUCUGAGAGGACGACCAGCCACACUGGGACUGAGACACGGCCCAGACUCCUACGGGAGGCAGCAU
rnacentral:rRNA from 1 species